rnacentral:rRNA from 1 species
UACGUAGGUGGCGAGCGUUGUCCGGAUUUACUGGGCGUAAAGAGCGCGCAGGCGGUCGUACAAGUCGCGUGUGAAAGCCCCCGGCUCAACUGGGGAGGGUCACGCGAUACUGUUCGACUCGAAGGCAGGAGAGGGAAGUGGAAUUCCCGGUGUAGUGGUGAAAUGCGUAGAUAUCGGGAGGAACACCAGUGGCGAAGGCGGGUCUCUGGACAGUUCCUGACGCUGAGGCACGAAGGCCAGGGGAGCAAACGGG